GUCCUGCCCCCAGGUCAGACGGGASUACCCGCUGAGUUUAAGCAUAUCAAUAAGCGGAGGAAAAGAAACUAACAAGGAUUCCCCUA
rnacentral:rRNA from 1 species